ncrna:unclassified sequences Transposase-2 RNA
GAAACGCGAACCAAGCAGCCACACGCCAGUGGCGUAAGACUUGGAGCUGGUCUCGGCAACGAGACCACGCA